GCGCGGGUGGCGAAAUUGGUAGACGCACUACCUUGAGGUGGUAGCGGCCGCAAGGCUAUGGAGGUUCAAAUCCUCUCCCGCGCA
rnacentral:tRNA from 2 species